UACAGAGGUCUCAAGCGUUGUUCGGAUUCAUUGGGCGUAAAGGGUGCGUAGGCGGCGCGGUAAGUCGGGUGUGAAAUCUCGGAGCUUAACUUCGAAACUGCAUUCGAUACUGCCGUGCUUGAGGACUGGAGAGGAGACUGGAAUUUACGGUGUAGCGGUGAAAUGCGUAGAUAUCGUAAGGAAGACCAGUGGCGAAGGCGGGUCUCUGGACAGUUCCUGACGCUGAGGUGCGAAAGCGUGGGGAGCAAACAGG
rnacentral:rRNA from 1 species